rnacentral:rRNA from 1 species
UACAGAGGUCUCAAGCGUUGUUCGGAUUCAUUGGGCGUAAAGGGUGCGUAGGUGGCGCCGUAAGUCAGGUGUGAAAUUUCGGAGCUUAACUCCGAAACUGCAUUUGAUACUGCGGUGCUUGAGGACUGGAGAGGAGACUGGAGUUUACGGUGUAGCAGUGAAAUGCGUAGAGAUCGUAAGGAAGACCAGUGGCGAAGGCGGGUCUCUGGACAGUUCCUGACACUGAGGCACGAAGGCCAGGGGAGCAAACGGG